rnacentral:rRNA from 1 species
ACGGGAGGCAGCAGUGUGGAAUAUUGGACAAUGGGGGAAACCCUGAUCCAGCGACGCCGCGUGAGUGAAGAAGUAUUUCGGUAUGUAAAGCUCUUUAAGCAGGAAAGAAAAUGACGGUACCUGCAGAAUAAGCUCCGGCUAACUACGUGCCAGCAGCCGCGGUAAUACGUAGGGAGCAAGCGUUAUCCGGAUUUACUGGGUGUAAAGGGCGUGUAGGCGGGACAUCAAGUCAGAUGUGAAAGCACGAGGCUCAACUUCGUGUCUGCAUUUGAAACUGACGUUCUUGAGUGUUGGAGAGGCUAACGGAACUCCUAGUGUAGCGGUGAAAUGCGUAGAUAUUAGGAAGAACACCAGUGGCGAAGGCGGUUAGCUGGACAAUAACUGACGCUGAGGCGCGAAAGCGUGGGUAGCAAACAGGAUUAGAUACCCUGGUA